AGGUAUUUCUGCUUCAUGAGGAAAUACAGAUGUCAGAAGUGUUCACAUAGGUGAAAUUGAAACAGAAGACACAUUCAGGAAUGCAGCUGUUGGGCUCCAAUCACUGAUGGCCAUUCAGUCCUUGAGACCAGAGUGGAGCUAGUCUGAGGUUUGAUGGAUGGACUGUCAGCUGGAUAAGGAACAGGCUGGAUGGCCAUGUCCAAAAAGUUACAAUGUACAAAAAGUUCAAUGUCCAAGUGGAAGCCAGCAACAAGUGGUGUCCCUCAAGGGUCUGUUUGGGAAGAAUGCUAUUUAGUAUCUUCCUCAGGACAUAAGUGAGAUGGAGUUCACCCUCAGCAAGUUUGCAGAUGACUCCAAGCUGAGUGGUGUAGUUGAUUCACUUUUAAGGAAGGGAUACCGUCCAGAAGGACAUUGACAGUCUUGAGAAGUGGGCCCAUGUGAACCUCAUGAAGGCCAACUGCAAGGUCCUGCACCUGUGUCAGGGCAAUCCCCAGUAUCAAUACAGUCUGGGGAAUGAAUCAAUUAAGAGCUUCCCUGCAGAGAAGAAGUUGAGUAUGCUUGUGGAUGAAAAACUGGACAUCAGCUAGCGAUGUACACUCACAGCCCAGAAAGUCAUCUUUAUACUGGAUUGCAUAAGAAGCAUGACCAGCAGGUCAAGGGAGGUUAUUCUUCUCUUUUCCUCUGCUUUCAGGAGAUACCAUCUGGUGUACUGCACCCAACUCUGGGAUUCCCAGUACAAAAAAGACAUGGACCUGUCAGACUGGGGUCUAGAGAAGGGCCUUGGAAAUGAUCAGAGGUCUGGAACACCUGUUCUAUGAAGAAAGGCUGAGAGAGGUGUGACUGCUCAGCCUGGAGUAGAGAAGGCUCUGGGGAGACCUUAUUGAAGCCUUUCAAUAUAUAAAGGAGAUUUAUAAGAAAGAUGGAGAGAAACUUUUUGCAGUUCUUGCAGUGAAAGGACACAGGGCAAUGGUUUUAUAACUAAAAGAAGUUAAAUUUAGAUUGGAUAUAAGGUAUAUUUUUUUUACAAUGAGGGUGGUAAGACACUGGAACAGGUUACCCUGAGAAGCUGUAGCUGCCCUAUCCCUGCAAGUGUUCAAGAUCAGGUUUGGAGAGAGCAGUCUGAUCUAAUGAAAUAUGUCCUUGCCCAUGGCAAGUGGGAUAGGACAAGGUGAUCUUUAAAGUUCCCUCUCAACACAACCCAUUCCAUGAUUCUAUGACUAUACUUUCACAUGCACAGAUAGGGCCUGUAUGCAGGAUCCAAUGUGAUUUUUCUGAUGACAGAGCAUCCCAAACAUGAAAAGUAUCUGAAUUGGAGCACAUAGAGGAUUGAUCUACUAACUAAAUGCAUAAAAAGUCUGUACAAUGCUUUUUUUUGUCCUGUUUCAGUUUUAAUCUGGGCUUAGUCUCCUGCCAUGAGUCACUAACCAAGUAAUGUUGCCAAUUAUCCAAAGACCAUGUAUUUUCAUGUUUUGAUGUCCCCAAAACUUUCCAGAUAAAUGAGCCAGUCAAGUAAUGAAUCCUUUCCAGGCAGUCAUAUUUCCCUCAGUACUAUUCACCACUUUAUGUGCAUCAGCUUGAUCUACAGCAUUAGAAGUCUAAUAGGGCAUAUGCCUAAAUAAAUGCAAGACAUUAUUCUAGUGCUCUUGUCUAUUUUUGCUAGUUGAAUGUCUGGUAAGAACUUAGACUGCAUGACAUAUUAAAACUUUAGGUAUUUUUGUGAUUAGAAUAUAUUUCCUGCUUAUGCAGAAGAACAGAUAUUGCUUAAUAGGUACCUGCCUGUCCAUCACUGAUUUCAACAAUAAGGCCGAAGUUAUCACUUUCUGCUGCUACUAGUCACAUUCAUGAUGCCAGUACUGUGCAUUGUUAAUUUAUAGGAUAGUGCAAUAAUUUUAAUCCUUUGUACCAGCUAUUUUAAAUGUCUGAUUGUAAAUUUGAUAGUGCCUUCUCAAUUACUGAGUAACAAUAACAUGAUUAAUUAAAUUGCGUUAAUAUCACCAUUUAUAAUACCAUCUUGAAGAUAUACUACGUUUAAAAUGGAAUUGUAUCUUGUCAGUUUUGCAUGAUCUUGGAUGAUUGUUCCCUUACAGAUUCUCAAUGAUGCUUAAUUAUCCAGCAAAAUAUGUAAUUUUUUGAAGUUUCAUUGAAUAAAGUGUCACAAAUCAACUUUAUCCUAUUAAAAUAAGAAUGAAACUCAAAAAGCCUGUCAGGUGUAAUGUUGCAUAUGACCAUGUAGUUUGAUGGCAUGGGUGGUUUCACAGAAACACACCCUCUGACAUAAGUAUGUUUAAUAUGUUUCAGCAUUAAAGUGUCCUAGUCAUAUGGCAGAGCAAGUGAAUGUCUCUUACAGAACAGGCUUCUUGACAAGAGGUUUUAAUUUCUUUGAUCUUUACCCAUCUGGUAACUCUUGCAGUGGAUUUUGAAGAUGCUU